CCACUGUAAUGGGUUGGGGCAGAUCUGCUUUACACGCAGAAGGUCCUGGGUUCGAGCCCCAGUGGA
rnacentral:tRNA from 1 species